rnacentral:rRNA from 1 species
CGUGCCAGCAGCCGCGGUAAUACAUAGGUCACAAGCGUUAUCCGGAAUUAUUGGGCGUAAAGCGUUCGUAGGCGGUUUGUUAAGUCUGGAGUUAAAGACUGGGGCUCAACCCCAGCCCGCUCUGGAUACUGGCUGACUAGAGUUACAUAGAGGUAAGUGGAAUUCUUAGUGGAGCGGUGGAAUGCGUAGAUAUUAGGAAGAACACCAAUGGCGAAGGCAGCUUACUGGAUGUACACUGACGCUCAGGGACGAAAGCGUGGGGAGCAAACAGGAUUAGAUACCCUGGUAGUCCACGCCGUAAACGAUGAUCAUUAGCCGCUAGAAUAUUUAGUGGCGCAGCUAACGCAUUAAAUGAUCCGCCUGAGUAGUAUGCUCGCAAGAGUGAAACUUAAAGGAAUUGACGGGGACCCGCACAAGCGGUGGAGCAUGUGGUUUAAUUUGAAGAUACGCGUAGAACCUUACCCACUCUUGACAUCUUCCGCAAUACUAUGGAGACAUAGUGGAGGUUAACGGAAUGACAGAUGGUGCAUGGUUGUCGUCAGCUCGUGCCGUGAGGUGUUAGGUUAAGUCCUGCAACGAGCGCAACCCCUGUCUUUAGUUACUAACGGAUAAUGCCGAGGACUCUAGAGAGACUGACUGGGUAACCAGUAGGAAGGUGGGGACGACGUCAAAUCAUCAUGCCUCUUACGAGUGGGGCAACACACGUGCUACAAUGGACGGUACAAAGAGAAGCAAUAUGGUGACAUGGAGCAAACCUCAAAAAACCGUUCUCAGUUCGGAUUGAAGUCUGAAACUCGACUUCAUGAAGUUGGAAUCGCUAGUAAUCGUAGAUCAGCUACGCUACGGUGAAUACGUUCUCGGGUCUUGUACACACCGCCCGUC